UUAGGAAUUUUGGGCAAUGGGCGAAAGCCUGACCCAGCAACGCCGCGUGGGUGACGAAGGCCUUCGGGUUGUAAAGCCCUUUCUCAGGGAAGAUGAUGACGGUACCUGAGGAAGAAGCACCGGCUAACUACGUGCCAGCAGCCGCGGUAAUACGUAGGGUGCAAGCGUUGCCCGGAUUUAUUGGGCGUAAAGAGCGCGCAGGCGGCCCGAUGCGUCCCGUGUGAAACCCCUCGGGCUCAACUGAGGGCGGUCACGGGAAACGGUCGGGCUGGAGCGAGGGAGAGGGUCGUGGAAUUCCCGGAGUAGUGGUGAAAUGCGUAGAGAUCGGGAAGAACACCAGUGGCGAAGGCGACGACCUGGACCUCUGCUGACGCUGAGGCGCGAAAGCGUGGGGAGCGAUCCGGAUUAGAUACCCGGGUAGUCCACGCCGUAAACGAUGUCGACCAGGUGUCUGAGGUAUCGACCCCUCGGGUGCCGUAGCUAACGCAUGAAGUCGACCGCCUGAGGACUACGGCCGCAAGGCUAAAACUCAAAGGAA
rnacentral:rRNA from 1 species